rnacentral:rRNA from 1 species
GAUGAACGCCGGCGGCGUGCCUAAUACAUGCAAGUCGAGCGAACGGACGAGAAGCUUGCUUCUCUGAUGUUAGCGGCGGACGGGUGAGUAACACGUGGAUAACCUACCUAUAAGACUGGGAUAACUUCGGGAAACCGGAGCUAAUACCGGAUAAUAUUUUGAACCGCAUGGUUCAAAAGUAAAAGACGGUCUUGCUGUCACUUAUAGAUGGAUCCGCGCUGCAUUAGCUAGUUGGUAAGGUAACGGCUUACCAAGGCAACGAUGCAUAGCCGACCUGAGAGGGUGAUCGGCCACACUGGAACUGAGACACGGUCCAGACUCCUACGGGAGGCAGCAGUAGGGAAUCUUCCGCAAUGGGCGAAAGCCUGACGGAGCAACGCCGCGUGAGUGAUGAAGGUCUUCGGAUCGUAAAACUCUGUUAUUAGGGAAGAAUAUAUGUGUAAGUAACUGUGCACAUCUUGACGGUACCUAAUCAGAAAGCCACGGCUAACUACGUGCCAGCAGCCGCGGUAAUACGUAGGUGGCAAGCGUUAUCCCGAAUUAUUGGGCGUAAAGCGCGCGUAGGCGGUUUUUUAGUCUGAUGUGAAAGCCCACGGCUCAACCGUGGAGGGUCAUUGGAAACUGGAAAACUUGAGUGCAGAAGAGGAAAGUGGAAUUCCAUGUGUAGCGGUGAAAUGCGCAGAGAUAUGGAGGAACACCAGUGGCGAAGGCGACUUUCUGGUCUGUAACUGACGCUGAUGUGCGAAAGCGUGGGGAUCAAACAGGAUUAGAUACCCUGGUAGUCCACGCCGUAAACGAUGAGUGCUAAGUGUUAGGGGGUUUCCGCCCCUUAGUGCUGCAGCUAACGCAUUAAGCACUCCGCCUGGGGAGUACGACCGCAAGGUUGAAACUCAAAGGAAUUGACGGGGACCCGCACAAGCGGUGGAGCAUGCGGUUUAAUUCGAAGCAACGCGAAGAACCUUACCAAAUCUUGACAUCCUUCGACAACUCUAGAGAUAGAGCUUUCCCCUUCGGGGGACAAAGUGACAGGUGGUGCAUGGUUGUCGUCAGCUCGUGUCGUGAGAUGUUGGGUUAAGUCCCGCAACGAGCGCAACCCUUAAGCUUAGUUGCCAUCAUUAAGUUGGGCACUCUAAGUUGACUGCCGGUGACAAACCGGAGGAAGGUGGGGAUGACGUCAAAUCAUCAUGCCCCUUAUGAUUUGGGCUACACACGUGCUACAAUGGACAAUACAAAGGGCAGCGAAACCGCGAGGUCAAGCAAAUCCCAUAAAGUUGUUCUCAGUUCGGAUUGUAGUCUGCAACUCGACUACAUGAAGCUGGAAUCGCUAGUAAUCGUAGAUCAGCAUGCUGCGGUGAAUACGUUCCCGGGUCU